UCUGUAGUAUCUCUCUAUUUGUGGCCAUCAAAAUCCAGUCCAUGCGUUUUUUGUAAAUGCGACUUCAUCUCCCAGUAUCAGAAGGAGUGAAAAUCCAGAACUUUUACUGAACUUGAAUUUCAAUGUGAACAGCAAGAUUUGAAUAGAAACACUUUACUUUGACAACAAUUAAAAUUAUUCAUACCAUGA
rnacentral:lncRNA from 1 species